UUUGCACUUGAUAAAUUUAAAUUGACCGAUAAACUAUGAUGGUCGGGUUAUUACAAUUUAUAUAAAAAACAACAUGUUUGUGAUUUCUCCGGGGGCUCAUUUAAGUUUUGUAGUCGCUGAUGUUGUGACCGAAAGCGAGUUACGUGCUGAAUUUGAUGAGCUGUAUUUGAUAGAUAAAAAUAAUAAGAAAAGUCAGGAUAUUACUUCAAAUUUUUUUACGCACGCUGAUAUUUUUAAGAGGGAUGUUUUGAAAGUAUAAAAGACUGGCUUUCAAGAAUUUUCGUUCAUAUCUUAAACAGACGUGUCCUUAGAAGGAUCCAAUUCAGAUUUUCGGAUAUCUCUGGGCGAGUCAUUAAAUAAAUAAAAAACUUAUUAAGGUUUAUAAAAUGCAGGCCACGUGCUGGUUGUUCGGGGUGCUGAUAAUAUGCGGUCUAAAUAUAGUAUAUCCGCACAUCCUGACCGCUUCUUUAAGUGAAGCGUCCAAAUUCUGCCCCAGAAUGCUAAGAACACUAAUUCUCAAGGACUUAUGCCAGAUAUACGGACAUUUACAUGGCGGUUACCCGUUUACUGAUACGGAUAUUAGAAAAUUGGAGUUCCAACAGAAAAUGAUUAGGAAGUGUUGUACGAAUCCUUGUACAGUCGCCGAAUUGAUGUAUUUAUGUUAAAACGACCUUGAAAAUGUAUACAAAACAUAACACGUACCUGUCUGUAGAUAUAUGUAUUAGAAUUUAGUCGCAAUUAAUAUAAAACUAUUUAUUGAAUUUUUUGUAGAAUUCUGCUUUAGAGAGUCAGCAUAGAGCAGUAACUAGAUAUACGUGGAUUUAUUUUACGUUUAAUCUUGAAUUAAAUAAUAAAUUUAAAACUUACCUUUUACUUCACUUUAUACUUAAGUGAUAUUUUGAAUUCAAUUUAAGUAAGUGUUCAAGUAAUUUCCUGAGAUUGCUUAUAUCUGUGCAAAAUAUUUAUUUCGAUGAAAAUUUUA